rnacentral:RNase_P_RNA from 2 species
GGAGUCGGACAGGCCGUCGCCGCAGGCAUGCGCCUGGGGAGGAAAGUCCGGGCUCCGCAGGGCGGAACGCUGGGUAACACCCAGGGGGGGCGACCCUCGGACAGCGCCACAGAAAGCAAACCGCCCCAGUGGGGGUAAGGGUGAAACGGUGGAGUAAGAGCCCACCAGAUGCCGCGGUGACGCGGCAUGCUAGGCAUACCCCGUUCGGAGCAAGACCAAAUAGGGAAGGCGGCUGGCCCGGCCACAGCCUUCCGGGUAGGUUGCUUGAGGGUGCGGGCAACCGCACUCCUAGAGGAAUGACGGUCACAUAUGGGAAACCAUAUGACAGAACCCGGCUUAUCGUUCGACUCCCGUU